UUUUCUCUCCCCUUUUUUAUUUUAUUUUUAGCUGAAAAGACGUAAAGGCAGUCAGCCCAGUGGUGUUUCUGGAGAGGGAUUCCUUCAGAAAUGGAGAAGACAGAAAGCUGCGGAGGCAGACAUUUGCAGCAGAUUGUUUGCAGAUAAUGCUGUUCUUCUUUUUCAGGUCUACAAUAUUGAGCUCAACAGCUCUUUUAAGAGCCAACCCUCAUAAACCUUCCUAAAAACUAAAAGAGCUAUUACUGAGUCUCAGUGAAUCUAGCCAUGAUCAGCUCUUCCCAGAAGAGAAGGAAGACCAAGGAAAUUAUUUGCUCAGGAUGAGAAAUGAAGACGGCCAUCUUGUGCUCAUACAAACAGAAGUCCUCUGGUAUGUGUGUAUUGAAGCAAUGCUGUGUUAUACAGCACUUUAUGAUGAUCUCUCACAGAACUGUUCAUGUCAGCCUUGAUUUUUUUUAAUACUAUUACAAUUACAGCAUGUUAGCAAAGUGUGACUGGACAUUGGACAUCUUAUGUUUUUAAAAACACACCACCUGUUUUAAAAGCA